rnacentral:rRNA from 1 species
GACGAACGCUGGCGGCGUGCUUAACACAUGCAAGUCGAACGGUAAGGCCCCUUCGGGGGUACACGAGUGGCGAACGGGUGAGUAACACGUGGGUGAUCUGCCCUGCACUUCGGGAUAAGCCUGGGAAACUGGGUCUAAUACCGGAUAGGACCACGCUCUGCAUGGAGUGUGGUGGAAAGCUUUUGCGGUGUGGGAUGGGCCCGCGGCCUAUCAGCUUGUUGGUGGGGUGAUGGCCUACCAAGGCGACGACGGGUAGCCGGCCUGAGAGGGGGUCCGGCCACACUGGGACUGAGAUACGGCCCAGACUCCUACGGGAGGCAGCAGUGGGGAAUAUUGCACAAUGGGCGCAAGCCUGAUGCAGCGACGCCGCGUGGGGGAUGACGGCCUUCGGGUUGUAAACCUCUUUCAGUACCGACGAAGCGCAAGUGACGGUAGGUACAGAAGAAGCACCGGCCAACUACGUG